rnacentral:rRNA from 1 species
UACAGAGACUGCAAGCGUUAUUCGGAGUUCACUGGGCGUAAAGGGUGCGCAGGCGGCCAAGUGUGUUAGGCGUGAAAGCCCGGGGCUUAACCUCGGAAUUGCACCUAAAACUACUUGGCUAGAGCAUUGGAGAGGAUAGCGGAAUUCACGGUGUAGCAGUGAAAUGCGUAGAUAUCGUGAGGAACACCAGAGGCGAAGGCGGCUACCUGGACAAUUGCUGACGCUCAGGCACGAAAGCGUGGGGAGCAAAAGGG